UGGCAGCCGCCGCGGUAAUACCAGCACCUCACGUGGUCAGGAUGAUUAUUGGGCCUAAAGCAUCCGUAGCCGGCGCUAUCAGUUUUCGGUUAAAUCUGUACGCUCAACGUACAGGCUGCCGGGAAUACUGUAGCGCUAGGGAGUGGGAGAGGUAGACGGUACUCGGUAGGAAGGGGUAAAAUCCUUUGAUCUAUUGAUGACCACCUGUGGCGAAGGCGGUCUACCAGAACACGUCCGACGGUGAGGGAUGCAAGCUGUGGGCGCAAACCGGAUUAGAUA
rnacentral:rRNA from 1 species